AUAUCUCUCUGUACGGGAAGGAUGAGAAGCUUCGACUAAGGUUCGAUUCGAGCGUCAGCGAGAAAGCGUUGCCGCAG
rnacentral:sRNA from 5 species